rnacentral:tRNA from 1 species
UGUUCUGUGGCUUAGUUGGUUGGAGCGUCGGCUAAGCGAAUACGGAGUUGUGGGUUCAAAUCCCACCAAAACUG